rnacentral:rRNA from 1 species
GACGAACGCUGGCGGCGUGCUUAACACAUGCAAGUCGAACGGAAAGGCCCUGCUUUUGUGGGGUGCUCGAGUGGCGAACGGGUGAGUAACACGUGAGUAACCUGCCCUUGACUUUGGGAUAACUUCAGGAAACUGGGGCUAAUACCGGAUAGGAGCUCCUGCUGCAUGGUGGGGGUUGGAAAGUUUCGGCGGUUGGGGAUGGACUCGCGGCUUAUCAGCUUGUUGGUGGGGUAGUGGCUUACCAAGGCUUUGACGGGUAGCCGGCCUGAGAGGGUGACCGGCCACAUUGGGACUGAGAUACGGCCCAGACUCCUACGGGGGGCAGCAGUGGGGAAUAUUGCACAAUGGGCGGAAGCCUGAUGCAGCAACGCCGCGGGCGGGAUGACGGCCUUCGGGUUGUAAACCGCUUUCGCCUGUGACGAAGCGUGAGGGACGGUAAUGGGUAAAGAAGCACCGGCUAACUACGUG